AUUGAACGCUGGCGGCAUGCCUUACACAUGCAAGUCGAACGGCAGCACGGACUUCGGUCUGGUGGCGAGUGGCGAACGGGUGAGUAAUGUAUCGGAACGUACCUUUCAGUGGGGGGAUAACGUAGCGAAAGUUACGCUAAUACCGCAUAUUCUGUGAGCAGGAAAGCAGGGGAUCGCAAGACCUUGCGCUGAUUGAGCGGCCGAUAUCAGAUUAGCUAGUUGGUGAGGUAAAGGCUCACCAAGGCGACGAUCUGUAGCGGGUCUGAGAGGAUGAUCCGCCACACUGGAACUGAGACACGGUCCAGACUCCUACGGGAGGCAGCAGUGGGGAAUUUUGGACAAUGGGGGCAACCCUGAUCCAGCCAUGCCGCGUGAGUGAAGAAGG
rnacentral:rRNA from 1 species